GUUGGUCUCAAUCUCCUGACCUUGUGAUCCGCCUGCCUCAGCCUCCCAAAGUACUGGGAUUACAUACUCUCUGUUUUAAUCUCAGUGGGAAUUCCAAUACUGCCGCUGCACCUUGGACCCAAAAAUAUGUCUCAAAAUAUGUUUCUGUAUUCCUUUAAUUUUAUUUCUGCACACUCAGCACUUUUGACACACAUAUCUAUUUUACAAGUGCUCAAGUAAACUAAUCGCAUUUUGUUGAAGCUCUUCCUUACUGUGCUGUCAUCAGUUAAUUAUGGGGGAACUAAGAUGCACAGGGUAUGAUUAUUAACGACACCUCAGAUUUACACAAACCCACUCUUUGAAUGAUUUCGAGGCAAUUCAUACAUAUUAGCUCAUUUUUCUUCAUAACAGCUAGAUUGAAUGAAAGACCUAGAUUCUAUUCUUGGUGCUGUAACAACCUUCUUAGGAAAAGUAUUUAGUCAUUAAUUGCCUCAGUUCCCAACUAUGAAACAGGAAUCAUGAUAUGAAAAUAUUUGCUUCUCCCUUUCGUUCUCCUAAACCUUUAGAAUCUUAGUAGCUUAAAAAAAUGUAAAACUCUGAUGUUUGAAAGUAAAGAAGUGUGUCUUGACUUUUUGAACAUUAAUAAAAAGUUGAACAGCAAUAUUGGGAGAUGACUGGAAACCCUGAAAUCUGAAUUAUUAGGUUUGAUGCAAAAUUAAUUGUGUUUUUUUCCAUUAAAAUUUAUCGCAAAAACCACAAUAACUUUUGCACCAACCCAAGACAAUCUAAUUCUACUUAGUGGUGAGUCAUUGCCCUAUCUACUUCUUGCCUAUUUUCUCUAAGUACUUCCUAGGUAUUUCCUAGGUAUUUCUCUAAGUGUUUCUCUAAGUAUUUCCUACUAUUUCCUAGGUAAUAGGAAAAUACUUAGAGAUCCAGGGGUUAUGAGUACUACAAAAGGAGCCCUAUCUUCAAAAGAGCAUUAAUUUGGUCAGCAAAGACAUCCCUAGGAACCAUGGCAUAAAUAAGACCCUAUUUGAGAGGAGAACAGUCUCAAAUCAAGUCCUAUUAAUGCCAUGGUUCCUAGGCAUCAAUAAGAUGUCUCUUUACUCUUCCUCCACCUCUUUUCUUUCCCUCCCAACUGCCAGGCUAUCUGUAGCAGUUUCAAAACAAUACAGACAACUCCAGACCAAAUCCCUGGUCUGUAUGCUUGCUUGAAUAUCAUCUAUAGGUUCUUGGCCUUACAAUCACAAUCUUCAAAAGUCCCAGGGGUGAAAAAUAUCCCUCUUUGCUUGCCAGCCUAAACCUAAUGACUGAAUGGCAGGGAACCUAGACUAAAAUAGCAUUUGGCUCUUAGAUGACAUCCUCCAGCCAAGAAUAAUGACUUUUAUAAUGUCAGGUUCAAUCCACUUAGUGCAUAGGUAAUAGGCAUCUCACCUUAGGGAGGGGAAUGGUCUCUCUUUCCCUCUGUCUCUCUUUCUCUCUCUGAUUACCUAUUGUUAGACAGAAGCUUUUCUCCUUCAACUUCCUAAAACCCAAAGGCUGCUAAAAUGUACUUCCUACAAAUUGGUAGAGUUGGGCCCCAAUGCAAUCAAUGGGCCAUAGAUUACCUUCCAGAGAGCUUCACAAACCACCUGGGCCCAUCAGAUAAGCACCAGCUCUUCUAUGGAAUUAGGAUGGAAGCCAGGAAAAGUCCUCUGAAACUCAACCAGUGAGGUACAAGGAGGCAACAGAAUUAUUUUAUAUAUUCAUAUCAAUAAAUAUCACUAAAUAUAUACUGAAGGAUUAGGUCAGCAUUCAUUUUUCCCCUAAGAUACUAAUGAAAGCAGUUUUUUUACUAGGCAAAAAUCCAAGUAUUUUUCCUGACUCUACUUAGCCUGACACUUGGAAAUGAUGUGGAUUUCGGGUAUAAAAUCUGCCAGAUGAUUUCCUUUGAGACCACUUGAGCUAUAGAGUGCCUGUACCAAACACUGCCCCCUACUGGUCUAGAGCCUCCUCUUCCUCUUCCUAUGAUGAGUAUUAUCAUAGGAAGAGGAAUAUUUUUGCCAGUUAGUGGAAGACUCUUGCUGAGGGAAUUUAGAUUGUCUUUAUCUUAAGUACAUUUAGAGUAGAAUGAUGUGUACCCAUCCAGUUUUGCCUUGGGAAAUGCCAGGAAUGCCCCAAAGGAUACAGUUUUAGAAACUGUGUUCUAGGUUAACAUAAUGAAUAUUAUUCCAGUCUAGUACAGAUAGUAACAUAUUUGUAACCAAAGUCAGUCAAUGCUAGUGGAAAACAGAAUGGAGUCCAUAUAUUCCCCUGCUUGACUCUAUUCAGAGACAAGAACUGCUCAGAUGAAGAAUAGGAUAGAAGCUAGCCUGCCAAGGGUAGCCAUUAUACGUACUUAGAUAUUCUUUCCUUAGGCAAAAUAAAGAAUUGCCUAAUCUUUCUUCAGAAUAUACAGUAUGAAACCCUAGAGUCAUUUAGGUCAUAUGGUCAUGAACCAUUUCUAUCUUCUCAACUUCUUUUUCUGAAACGAGGGCACCCUGAGCUGUGUUGCUUAUCUCAGAUCUGGAUUUAGCCACACGCUCUAAAGUGUAAGAGCUCUCCCUCCUCACAUGUAGCCCAAAAUAGUCCUUCACAGCCACGUCACCCUGGACAGUUUAUCACUUGACAUGACCUCCUACUCUACCGAUUGGAGAGAUUUCAGACAGAGCUUGACUGGCCACAAACAGAAACAGCAUGACUUCAGAACGUAUGGGAUGAAUUAAACAGAGCAAUUUUCUAGUUUUCAGAAACACAAACGUGACUAUAAGUGGGACCUCAGCCAGAGUACAGUCUUAGAAAAUAAGGUUUCAAUCUACCAUUUAUUAAAUGCCACGUUUAUGUGGCAUUUUAUUAAGCAUUUUAAGGGUUAUUUAGGCAUGAAUAUUGCUCUCUCAAAAUGUUACAAUCAAAGCCAUCUUAGCAUAAAAAUUUAUUCUGAAAUGAUUUGCUGAGCUCCUGCUGUGUAACAGGUGCUGUGCCAUGUACUGGGGUUACAGAGAGACCCUGUCACAGCCUCUGUCUUUGUGAUCUUAGAGUUGGGAGAUGGAGUAGCAUAGUACACAGAUGAUGCCAGUACUACAGCAUCACUUCCUGUCCUCUGGCUAAAGAAAUUUCACUGUCCAGCACAGUGCACGACAUAGAGUUAAGUAGUCAGUAAUUAUGAACUAGAUAAAAAUCAGCAAAAUGAAAAGAAUGAAUGAAUGCUAACAUAGUGUAAGUAUACGGUGCUAUGGAAAAUGCAUAGGAGAAGAAACUAAACUAGUUUGAGGGGACUAACUGCGGAAAGUGUCAUUUACGCUAGGACAGGAGUCAAAGAGUAUAUUGAUACAAAGGAAAGACCGUGAAUUAGACCUGGGUUCAAAUCCUAGCAGUGCCACCCAUGAGCUGGGCAAUUCUAACUAUUUCAAACCUUAUUUUCUGCAUCUGUAAAACACUGAUGAUACCUUUUAAAGGCUGUUUUGGGGACUAAAUGAGGUAUUAGUUACCUGUGUCUGACACAGAGAAGAACUUCAAUGAUAGGUGUUAGAGGUAUCACAGAGAGAGGACUUGCAACAUGAAAGCCAUGAAUAUCUAAGUAGUAAGGUUAAGGGCACAAAGAUUUUAAAGAAUGAAUAGCAAUAAUAAGCUUAAAAUCAUGAUGGAAAUAAAAGAGAGGUGCUAUGACAGUUCUUAACCCCUAAGCCCAGACAAGGGUGGAGGGAGGCAGAUGAUUGAUAGGAGUUUGCCAUCCUCUUCCAAUCCAUUCUAGAAGGCUUUUGUAUUUAGCUUUCAGCUGCAGAACCAUGUGGCCCUGCCUGUCCCAUUCACAGUAUGGUAAAUACUUUUUCAGAUAAUCAGAUAAUCUUAGGGUAUUAUGAUUUAACUGCUCAGCAUGGAUGCUUGAUACAAGCUAUAUGUGUGUGUGUGUGCAUGCAUGUGUGUGUAUGUGUGUUUGUGUGUGGUAUUUUCCCUGUAAGUUCUUGCCACAAUUAGCUUUCAUUGCUUUUACCCUAAAUAUUUUCAAGUAUACCAGAUUCCUUUCUUCUGUUCUUCCUUCCACCCAUGUGCAUCAGGCUCUUUCCUGCUACAUUCGCAUAGUUAGGUUAUUUAACACACACAUACACACCUGCUGUCUGCUGGCUUCAACUCUUUUUAGGUGAGAUUUUAGGACAUGCUUUGAGAUGCAUUGGAUUGUCAGAUACAUUAAAUAUAGUGUGGGGGAGGAGAAGGGAAAGAUGCUAGCAGCUGACUUUUGGUUUGGGUUUUCAGUCCUAAUAUCAGACAGGACAUGGCAAAAAAGUGUCAAACAAGAGAAUGAGAGGGUCCAAAGAAACGAGGUGGUGGUGGCCAGACAUGAAAGAAAGUACAAGACAUAAAAACAUUUAAGUUUGAAAGAUAUAAAAUUUGGAGAAGAGAGAACUAGCAGUGUUUAAGAUUCCGAUGGGGGAGGGAAAGCCAUUGAUUGGGCCUUUGAAACCAUGCCAGGAACCAAGAGCCAGGGGUAGUGGCAGAGGGGACGGCCAGGUAGGACAAUUAAAACGGAAAUCUGGCUCCUUACAACACAGCAUGGAGCAGGGCUACAGAAUUUGCUGCAGUGGGAGGUGGGGCCAGUCUGGCACAGUCUGUGGGUUUGAAAGGAGCUGGGCGGGUUGGAGAAUGCCAGUCAGCCUUUGUAGUUCUGAGCUCAGAGAGGGGGUGACACGUACUGGGCUCCAGGUCAGAAGCCUGGCUUGGGUGGCUUUUGGAGAAAUUUUCCCUCUGCUCCCAAACUCUUAAAAGGUGCUCAUCACACCACUGACCUCCAAUCACAGCACAAGCACGUGUCCCAAAGGCCGUCCUCCAGCAGAGAUUUCGGCAGUGGUACCUGUUGGCUGGCGCAUGGGGUCCUUUCCUUUUUCUAUUCCCUGGAAGCCGUCAACUGGACUGAAUACAACAUCUUUGCGUCUUUUUCUUCACCCUCCCCACAUGCUUGCAUCUCCCAGACUCCUAGGGUUAAUCCCCAGGACAACCUUGCUUUGAAAGAAAAAAUGUGGUGAGCCUACUUGAAGAUUUGGAUUCCAAGAGGCCUCUGUCUGUCCUGCCUCAGCCAGAGCCACACAGCCAGCUCAAGGAGAUGGGCAUUUACAGGGAAAGCAGCAAUAACCCUCCUUCCUCCACCUCACAAAAACUCACAAGCUGCAACCCUUCUGAUGUCCACUCCCACACAAGCCAGCUUCAGGCCUUUUUCAAGUUCUGUAGGUCAGAAUUCUGACAUGGAUCUCACUGGGCUAAAACCAAGCUGUUGGCAUGGCUGAAUUCCUUCUGGAAACUCUAAUGUGACUGGAGUGAUUUGCACCCGGAUGCCUAGACUCGCCAUCUGCUCA